CUAUGGUACACUUGUCUUUAGAAGACGGAUUUUUUUUAAGUAACUGAAAAAGGAGGUAAUUAUUUUAAGCUUUAAUAUAGUUUUUGUUGCUGGGGAGCCAAAACAUACACACACACAUGCACACACACACACACACACACACAGGCAAAGAAUUUUUUUUUUCCUUUGGGAAAACAGUAAUAUGUGUAAACUGGUUUGGAGGAAGUUUAUUGUUUCCCAGCCAGAAUGACAUUUAGGAUAUUUGAAUUCAUUGAUCAUAGUUUUAGGUAAAUAAACACUGAAAUAGGGUCAGCUUUUAGAUAUAUGGAUGGGCUGGGAUGCAAGAGAAAGGCUGGCUUCGGGUCCAGGCUUUGCCUUUGAUGGGCUAUGUACCUGGGACUUGUUUAUUUUGCUUUUUUUGGAGCUUCAGUUUCCUCACCUCUGAAUUGAGUGGAUGAAAGGACCGUCAAGGUUUGCCACGUCCUCAUUCCCUGCUUCUGUGAUCUGAUCUUCUCAGAUCCAGAUCCCUUUGUGAGCAGAAGAUGCAGGCAGGGACCAGGAUCCCCAUGAAUGAGGUAGGCUACCUGCAGGUGUGCAUCCCUCCAUGCCAUGGCUUUGAUGGGUUGGCGCCGACAGCAAGCUUUUUUGCAUGGGAAAAAGUUCCCUUCCAAUUACACAGCAGUUUUGUGGUGGCUGAGGGGCUAUAAUGGGAAUGCUUUGCAGCCAAAGCACUCUCAUUCAUAAAUUCCACUGUGACACUCUCUCUAAUUUUUUUCUCUUUUGGAUAGAUCAGUAUUCUGUGGUUUCCUCCACCACAGCCAUGCAAGCAAAAGUGAGUAGUUAAAUCUCGUCAUGGCCUUUAAGUCUCUGCAACACACGGACAUGACAGUGUCAAUCAUAAGCAAUAUUUGGUGCAGUAAAUAACAGUGAGCUGACCCUUCCAAUAUCUUCUAGGAGGCGUCUUUAAAAUGAAGUACAGGAAGGAACUAAAUAUAGGAGCUGGUCUGUUUCUAGUUUAUGGAUUUCUCUAGAAAUAGACAUUUUAUUCUGGUAAAAGCUCUGUGUUCAUCACACACAGCUAGAUGCAUGUGCUGAAUGUCAACCUCUGUGCAGGUGUGAAUAUCUAAUGUAAAUUAUGGAAAUUUAGGCUGCUUUUAAAAAAUAUUUUCUACAUCUGCUUUUGUAAUUUGCAUUAUUCCUGGGAUCCCUUUCUAGAAGUGACUAAAAUGCAGAAAGAAAAUCAAAGUAAAUGUCAUUCAAAGAAAUGAAAUACAUAAAAUAACCACACAGAAUCCAUACGCGACAGGCUGUUUUAGUAUUUAUUUUUUUAAACGUAAGAAGUAUAUAUAUUCCCUUAAAGCCAAUGUAUGAGUCCCUUUAGCAGUGAUCUAAAAGAUUUCUACUUCAUGAAAAACCUAUUCCUCUGAGAAUCUGCACCCUGUGUUCAGAGGAAAAAGGACUCUUUUGGCUGUUAAAUUCCAAUUUUCUAAAGGAAGUAAACAUUCCAUCUCAGGCUUCUCACACAUCAGAUAAACACCACUUUGAAUCAUAUGUUUAUCCUGGAAGGAAAUCGCCUCUCCAUUUUGUAGAUGGGGGCCCAGGAAAGAGGCUACUUGUCCGAGAUCCUACAGCUAGUGGGCAUCUGAACCAGGAUCUCUUUCUACCCCAUCCCAUUAGCCCUCCUGGGAAGAGUUAGGGUGGAAUUUCUGAGACUUCCACAGCAAUUAGGUGCUCAGACACUAGAUCAAGGGGAACUUUCAAAGUGUUGUUGAUAGUCUUGCUAAUAGGUCAGGCAGCCCAAAACAGCGCAAAUAUUAUGAGGUGAUCAGCACUACACCAAGGAAUGGCUUAGGAAUGAGGUCUGAUCCCCACUCUCCAUAGUCUCUAUCAGCUACCCACUGGCCUUCUUAAAUGCAGUCUAAGUUAAUGUGUGUUUGCUUGCUGUGAGGCAUGGCCUCUUUGCUAAUUUCUUUCACCCCCAUACUCUCCUCCUGUAUGGAAAUACUAGUGCCACCCUGCAUUUGAUUUUUUUUAAGUUGUUUUGACCGGCCAACAAGUCAAAAAAAGCAUAGUUUGAGUGCUCCCCAAAAUAAGCCCAAUAAAAUCAAUGCUGAAUAUCCCUUUGAAGCAGUUUUUUUGAUGUUGAAUUUUAGUCCUUUGAGUCAAAUUUCAAGAUGGCCUCAAUAAUUCUUCUAUAAUGUAACCCGGAAUCUGCCAUAAGGCACAGGAUUUGCCUAUGUUUAAGAAUAACAAUGUAUAGAAAAGAGAUCUGUUGAAGAGGCUAGAAAUAAUCACUCGGUUUUAUGCAGCUUUAUGUAAUAGUCCAAGGAAACUAAGAGCUGAUCGAGGAGCCAGUGGCGUGUCUUGAUUUCUAAAUAUAACCAUUUUGAAUGGGUGAGGGAAAUCCCUUCCUAUGCAAUAAAUAUAAUGGAAAGGGCCUAGUCUUUGAAAUCAGAUGGCCCUGGGUUUGAAUCCUGGCUACCACUUGUACCUGGAAAAAUUAAGUAAAUUAUUCUGUUUUUUACAUUUGUACAACGGAGAUAAUCAUACCUAUACUCACAGGAUUUUGGACUGAGGAUUUAGGAAUCAGGAUUACAGGAGAUGAUUCUGGCACAAAUUAAUGUAUAAAUAAGUGGUAGUUGUUCUAUUGUUAUUCUUCAGAAAAUUAAACAGGGCAUUUGUUACACCUGUUGAUAUUGACUGGACAUUUUGAGACUCUUCUUGGUGGAGAUGCUAAACUGAAAACAACCUACACAUACCAGAGCAUCCAAGAAUGUAUUCACCAGGUAACCUAGAAGAAAUACAUAGUUCAACAUUUGAAAAUUUUUUUUUAUCAUUAAAAUUCCUUCGAAGACGGGAGGAGUGUGGCUGAUUUGCAACUGCACCCACAAAAGAUGGCGGGUUUUGUUUUAUAUUUUAACUAAAAGUGGUGAAGAUUUUCCAACUGUUCUAUUUUUACAAAUUUUAAAAGUUUCAUUGCUG
rnacentral:lncRNA from 1 species